rnacentral:rRNA from 1 species
CAAUAGCGUAUAUUAAAGUUGUUGCGGUUAAAAAAGCUCGUAGUUGGAUUUCUGCUGAGGACGACCGGUCCGCCUCACCGCGAGUACUGGUCCGGCUGGACCUUUCCUUCUGGGGAACCUCAUGGCCUUCACUGGCUGUGGGGGAACCAGGACUUUUUACUGUGAAAAAAUUAGAGUGUUCAAAGCAGGCCUUUGCUCGAAUACAUUAGCAUGGAAUAAUAGAAUAGGACGUGUGGUUCUAUUUUGUUGGUUUCUAGGACCGCCGUAAUGAUUAAUAGGGAUAGUCGGGGGCGUCAGUAUUCAGCUGUCAGAGGUGAAAUUCUUGGAUUUGCUGAAGACUAACUACUGCGAAAGCAUUCGCCAAGGAUGUUUUCAUUGAUCAAGAACGAAAGUUAGGGGAUCGAAGAUGAUCAGAU